GCUCUGUAAACCUGGAAGCUUAUCUGUAUGAUUGCUGUUAAAGAUCACUUGGUAGCCGAUUACCAAGAGAUAGCCAACUCUCUCAGGGAAUUUUUGGAAGACCAUCAAGGCUCACAUGUUUAACAGGAUGCUGGAGAACAAAUCUUCGAGCUCUGGAAGGCUGGGCAACAGAAAUCGCAUGGCUCAUAUGCUGCUGCUGCGAUGAGUGUGACUUCCAUCUGCCCUGGCGUUACUGCAUCCCUCAUGCUCUCAUCAGCCUGGAAGGAUUGGCCUGGGCAGUGAGAGGAAGAUCUGCCCUUUUGAUCUCCCCUAACUCCCAAGGCGACACACAAAAAGAAGUCCCAAAGAGUGACUGGGGUAGAAUAGGACAGAAAUUUGGAUGCAAGAAAGCCCAAACUAUGACAUAUGUCCACUACAAUAAUUUUAUUUCAUCAAUCAUCAUCUAAUGACUACUGGAUAUAAGCCACACCCUGUGCCAGGUCUUAGAGACCCAAAGAGCCCUCCCUGUGGCCACAAGACGAUGGAUCAGCAGGGACCAUAACAGAAGGCAAGAGCUCAGUUAGAAGACUAUUGUAAUACUCCAGUCAAGAGGCUGCUGUCACACCAGAGAAACUGUCUCUUUUGCCUGGCACUUGUUCUUAUCCAAAGCUGAGUGUAGAAUUAUUCAGGAUGACUAAUGUUUCACCUCAGUCCUAAUGUCCUCCCACCGCAGCUUGAGAGACAGGAGUCCCCAAAGGAUCACAAAGUAACGAAUCUGGGCAGCCAGUGGAAAUGGAUCUCAUUCCAUCUCCAGCAGGUCCUGAGUCUUGUUAUGUAAACCUAGGGGUGUCCACAAGACACAAGCUCCUCUAAUCUAGGAGUCACAGGCUCGAGACCUUCCUCACUCACACCAAGCAGAUGGAGAAGAUUCAAGUUUUGCCACCAUGAAAGUAGGGUCAGAUGUUCAAGUGAAUUCCCAGUUGCCCACUGUGAAUUUAACGCCAAAGUAGCCAGAAGUUGGGAGACUAAGAAGGCAGGACUAUCCUAUGAACUCCGAUAAAUACACAGGGAGCUCUGUUCAGUUUUCCUAGCCGUUUGCAGCUGCACACAUGGGGUAUGGGAAUGUCGACACAUCCUUGCUCUGAGUGUAAUUAAUGACAAUGUGCCCAAUGUGCCAUUGACUCAGACAGAACACCUGACGGAGAUUCCGCUCGAGGCUUCUAUGGUCUCAGGGUGUGGAUGUGCCCGCAUGAACCACGCUGGAGUGUGUGAACAUCACCCUCCUGUUCCUGGCUGACUCAGAAGCAGAUCUAGGAGUCAGAAGACCUGGUUCAAGGCCUAGCCUUGCAAGGCAGCUAAAAACAAGCUUGUUAAUAAUCUCCCAGAGACCCAUCGUGCUCACUACAGGCCAGGCUCUGUCCUAAAUCCCUACAGGUUUCUCUGAUUUGAAGGAAGAAGAGAUUAUGAAAAGAAGAGAACAAGAAGAGAAUGCUGAGUGGGCUGUGGAAUCUGGGUGAAAAAGGAUAUGACAAAGAGGUCUGAAGGUGCUGGGUGGGGCACAGGAAAGGAAGUGUUGGGGGUCAGGGAAGAAGAGGAGGAGCAACUGAUGAAGGCCUGUGGGCUGGGAGACUUCCAGCAGGGAGCCAAAGACUUGGCUGCCAUCACACCCUGCUCCUUCAGACUGCCUCUCUCCUGCUUCCACAGAAAUGCAAUUCUUAGCUGGGUGCGUGGCUACUUAGGGGAAAAAAAAGAUUACAUUUCCCAGUCUCCCUUGCAGUUAGGUGUGGUCACAUGACUAUUUCAUAACCAAUGGGAUGUGAGUGGAACAUCCAGACUGUUUUCUUAUUGGGUAGGGGAGGGCCCUCCUCUUCUCCUUUGCUGCUAGAAUGUGCACAUGGUGGUGAUGAGUCAUCUUGGACCACUGAGAUGAGGGCAACACCCUACUGAUGGUGGAGACUACGAUUGGAGGAGACUGGGUGGCUCAUCAUAAACCAUCACACCUUCCGUGAACACUUAUGCCCAGGUUGUUACAGGAAGAGAAGUAGCUUCCAUCUUGUCUGAGCCACUGUUAUUUGGAUCUCUCUUACAUUAUGUUACCUUUGUCUAUGAGGCUUCACUUUUCCAUCCAUCCCCUUAUCUGCUCUGCCAUAUUUAAUAGAUUUUGGUACUUUGCCUCCCAAGACUCCCCUUGGAAUGUGCCUGGAGACAAGCCUGCUGUCUCAUUCUCAACACUUAUACUCGGAGGAGCCUACAGGGAAGCAAAACAAUCACAAUGAUGGCACGCGGGCCUUUUGGCUCUGGCUUCAUAGCAUCCACCAGCAAGCCAAGAUGUUAGCACACUUGAAUCCCAGACUUCCACACACUAGGAGCCAGGGUCACUGGAGGCUGUGAUCUAAGGAUGUGAUGAGGCUGGUCUGGGGGCUUCAUUGCCAUCCUUUCUUGCAUACAGCUCAGGACAACUUCUUUUGAUCCUGAAUGGCAGCGUCUGUGCUAAACAUCAUGGUUCUGCUCCAAAUCUCAUUUCUGCUCAUCAGCUGUGUUGAUAAUAAUGUAGAUUUACUUCUUUUCUUUCCUUUCCUUUUUUUUUUUGUUUUUUUUUUGUAUCUCUCAACAUCAGGAUCUAGACUCACUCACCCCAGGACAUUUGGAGAACCUCAAGGAGGCCCAGAUCUUAACAUGCCUAGUCUUUGUAAAACAAGGACUACUUACUUUUCUGGCCUGUUGCACAAUUAAGUUAGCAUUCAUAAACCUUCCUGAGAUGCUCCAGGCACAAGCUAUUACCCACAACAUUUUGCUGUGUUCCAGUGGGCCCCUUACAUUACUAAUUGCUGGAGUUCCACAAUUGCCUGCCCUGGUUUGUGCAGAGGGUGGCCUGUAAACAGUGGUCUCUCUACUUUCCUUUUCCUGGUUAAUUGUUGCCAGACUUGCUGUUCUCAAGACUAGAAAUCACGCCAGCUGAAUCGGCUUUGUGUGUGGGGCAUUUGCCUUAAAUGAUGCCAAAUCCAUUCUUGACCUAAUUAUAUGAAAUAUGCUUCAAUAAUUUUCCACGAGGUGAGUUAAAAUAAUGCCAGUACCGCAGCUUCAACCUCUCCUCCUCACUAUAACUUGAUUAAGAAGCAUUCAACCAUCUUGAAACACAUCAUGUAUUUCUUUCCAUGCUAUUAUGCUCAGGGUCCCUCGAAGAGCUGCCACAACCCGAGUCUAGCGCCAGGACUCUAGUGAAAGGAGCUGAGAUGGACUGUGGGCUGAAUUAUAAACUUAGAGCAUUUCUAACAACAGAAUCUGGGCUUCUCUUCUCUUCUUUCCCCUCUCUCUCUCUGUCUCUCUCUCACACACAAACAUACCCUCUUUGGCUGUGAAGGAUUCUUGUUCCCAACUUUUUCCUAUGCAACUCACUCCCGCACACCUAUCCUUUCAUAUCUGUUAUCCAGCAAAGUUUUGCUAAGGAGUUGCUCCAUUUCCAGAGCACUGGGACUCCAGCAUUUCAGCAGACAAUUGUUUUUUUUUGACUGCAAUCCAGAUGGAUGCUUCCGGCCUCGUUGUUUACUGUGGGACACACACACAGGCUCUUGCUUCCCCUCAUUCUUCUUUGGGCACCAAGUUUCUCUGUGUUUCAGUGGCCACGGAAAUCUCUCCUCCAAAUACAUCCUGUUAAACACAGAGACUGAAAACAUCCCAACCUGGAAGUCUGACUUGGGGUUGUUAUGCUUAUUUCUUACUGCCCAAGUUAAUCAGAUUUUACACGUUCUAACAGCAUGUGUCCUGUUAGCAAAGAGGGGGUAUAAUAUACUGUUGUUAAGGAUAAAAAUGUCCUGAUUUUAUUUCCUGUCUCUGAAUGGACGCCAAACCAUGAUACAUGUGUAGUUCUUUAAGAUACCCAAAUAAGUAUACUGAAAGCUGGUCCACUUGCCAAGAUGACAACUGGCUUGACAAUGAUGCUCCUUCAUCUCCACAUUUGUUUCAACAACUUUGCCAAAGCCUCAUAUUCAUUUAUCUUUUCUCUUCAGAAGGUUGGGAAGCUCAACCCUCCCCUUUGUCGCACUCUGUAAUGAGCCUUGGGCCAGCUGAUGAAGAGUAUCUCCUCAGAAAGUUCUCAUUUCUUUGUUUCUAGGAAAGUCCUAGAGGGUCUAUUCAUCAAGAGAAGACUCAGGAACCUCUAAACUGACAACCACACUCCAAGUCCAGGAAAGGGGCAAGAAAUUUCUUUCUUUCUACAGGGUUCUGUCUACAGACUCCUUUAGGCAUAUUCCUCUCCAGGGGAGUUGUGUUGGUCCUGGGUUCCGGGCUAUAUAUCCAUCAUAAAAUUUUCCUAGCCUGCUCCCCAAACUCUGCAUGUGUUCUCUGAGUCAUCGUGGCCAGGACCUCAGCUGUUGCAGCCCGGGGUCAUUCCCCAUGAGGCGCUCUUCUGCAUAAACAGUGUUAUUCCUCUGAGACCCACCUCCCCAUGCUCUGCUUAUCCUCAAUGCAAUUCAGCACACAAAUGUUGAACGCCUGCUCUAUGCCAGACAAAGCAGGCACAGUGUUCUUAACAAUUUUGAGUCUUGCAUCUCUUUAAAAAUCAUGGCAAAACAUGACAUUAAAAAACAUGACAGCUGUGGACCCUCUUUCUAGAAAAAUGCGUGUAUAUAUGAAUUUUUCUAGGCAAUCUCCGGAAGCCAGAUAAAAUACUCUAGGUUAAGAAGCUGCUGAAUGAAAAGAAAGUGAAUGAGACUUAGACACGUGUGGGGCUGAGACUUAGCUCUGUCAUUUACCAACAGUAGGACCGUGGGGGAGCGCCCCAAACUCUCCGAACCUCAGUUUGUUCAACCCUAAAAUGGGACUGGUAAGACUUGUCUCACCCUCAUGAGAUUGUAGUGAGAUUUUAUCAAAGGAUGGUUAUAGACAUAGAAAAUGUUAUAUCUGAGCACUCCCCACAUAUGUGAAUUGAUAAGGAUUUCAAAAUCUCACCCUUUGGAAGGAGGGAGGUGAAGAUUUGUGAUUGCCAAUGUUUUACAAAUGAAAAUUCUGAGGUAAGCUAAAAUGACAGGCUUUGCCAAAUUGAAUCUAAUCUUAUAAUUCCUCAGGGACAAGAAGACGAUAAAAUAUUAGGGACUAUAGAGUUUUCCAGAUCUGUUUCAGGCUCUGAUCUCGCCUUUGGGAGCCCCCUCAUUUGCCAACAGGGUGAAGAGCAACCUUGGCCCUCAUUCCUGGAAUCAUUUCUGUUGGUUGAUGUCUCUCUGAGGACUGCAAUGCUCACACAGAGAAACCGAUUCAUCUGGAAAUCCAAUACACCCGUGAUUCAUUUGGCUCAGAACUAAUCCGGGAGGAGGUUUCUUGGGGGUAUUAAAAUGUAUUCUCUUCACCUUCAGUGCUUUAAUAGUAGUUCUCCAGGGUUUUUGCCCUUACUUCAGUUCUCCCAAGAUGAUUCUAGGUUGAGAGUUUGGAUGAUGCUGCCAGAAAUAUGAUCGGUUCAGAAUAUCUGAGCCCACAUGCCGUUGUGAAGAAAGUGGUGAAGGAUUCAAGCUUGGCUUCCAUUUGCCUUGGAUAGUUGUAUUGAACCUGGAGCAGAUACUCCACUAAUAGGUGGAUAAGUAGGAAGAACUGGAAAUUUUCUGUUCAAAAUACGGACAGAAUCUGUUCCUGAGAAGUUUCUAGAAGCUCUUUAAAACAUUUGAUUGUGUUUACUUCUAAAAGUAGAGCACAACAGCUUGGUGUACUAAAGGUAUGUCAGCAGCCCUGUGUGCCAAAGGUUUGAACAUCACAAAAGCUUAGGAAGCCAGGGAGGGAGGGAAGAAGGAAGGAAGGAAGGCCAACAGAAAAUCGAAGCCAGUGCAAAUUCAAUGUCAGCAAUUCCCAAAUGAACACGAACCAGAUCCGUAGCUAAUGACGAGAGCGAGAACGUGGUCUUGGAGGCACACCUCGGUGUAGGCUCAGUCGUCUUCUUUACAGGAGCAUUUCAUGGGAGGCAUCUGAAGACACGGACCCUCCCCUUCUUUACUUAAGACUUUUCUGGGCAGAAAAAUAUUGCAUUAAGUCUUUUUUCAGAUGAGCAAACAAAUAACGGCUGUUUGGAGAGUCACUAAAAAUACGGUGUAACAUUAAAAAUUAAAUAAAAAUAGAUCAUAACCCGGAACAUUUUUAUUGGGCUUUAUAGAAAAUCUCAGACUUGGGUAGACUUUCCUGCUUUUGACCCUCACAACAGCCCUGCAAGGCAGAUAAAACAUACAGCUUUUAUUAAUCUCAUUAUGAAAUCAAACUAAGGCUCCAUGGGCUGUAUAAGGCCACAGACUGUCCUGUCUCAGCUUUGUGGUUCUCUUCAAGUCAUCAGGCCACAGCAGGAGAGAAGGAAGAAGCUCUGAAUCGAUAGCUGGCCAUAGGGGAAGAGGAUGGAAAUUGGGACAUGGGCUCCUAUGAGUUCCCACACCAAAGGCCAGACACACUAGGUACAAUCCAGGGCUGCUUGAGUCUUAUGGUCCGAGGGCAAGCACAAAAUGAGGCUGGAUAGGGAAAGCUGAGAUGGCAAGGAGGCCAUUGGAGUGAUCUGCAUGGAUUCCUGAGGAGUUGGAGUGGCCCACAUCCUGUCGUGGGAGCGUUUUGGUAAAGGGUCCGAGGCUCUGCUUCCAUUGGCCUUUGAUGGUUUUGUUGAGAUUUGAACUGGGGCUGGUAGUCCACUAGUGAAUGGGAAGAACUUCAAACCCAGGAUUUUCUAGAUUCUUUAGUCCAGUGCUGUUUCUUCUUCAGUAAGUGUUUUGUGUAGAAAAAACAAAAAUAUGUAUGUGCAUUUUAACGACUUGUCUCUGGCAGCAAAAUGAAAACCGUGAAUCAACUAGAGCCAAGUCCUGUGUGCAGGACAUCCCCGACCUUAAUCAUACAAAGGUGCCUGUCAAAAAGGGGCGGUAAGUGCUGGGAAGUGUCUGCAUCGUGCCUGAACCACUAGGAACUAAAAACAUCCGCUGGAGGGGUGCUUCCUUUCUUCUUCAAGGAGGUAAGUAGAAGUAACCUCCCCACCUAUUGGAGCCAAAAUGCAGCUUCCCAUCGGUGAGCCCAGCAAUCUUUCUUUCCCUUGAACAAGGUUCCCAUGUGGGUUCAUGAGAAGAUGAGUACUUUGGGACAUUAACAGAGGUUAUCCAAAGAAAGGCUUAGGGGCAAAACAUGGUGCUGAGAUAAACAAAGCUUCAGCAGGCUUUUCACUGCAGACCGUUCAGAACCCUUAAUACUCCAGGUACAUUGUGCAGUUCCAGAAGGGGCAUCCGGGAGGGAGGAGUCCCAGAUUUGGCCAUGGACUCUUGCCGUGUGAGAAUCUUGGGAGAAGGGUGUGCUGUAGAACAAAGUUUAUAGCAUGAUUUAGAUCUUCUGAAUACGUUGUAUUCAGAUGAGCAAAGAAAAUGUAGCUGAUCAUUUUUUUUAAAACUAGUCUAAUUUUCUUCAUAACACCCUAUCCUGUUGGGUAAGAGGUAGGAGCGACCAUGUUUAUUUAAGUCCAAUGAACUUGCUUAAAUGCAGUCAUUUAAAGUCUUUCUAGGUCUUUUGGGGAAAGUUCUCAGCUCCCACCUCUGCUCCUCUGAGGUGACAUCUAAGUAUAGGGGAGAGGACUGUAUUCUACAUGGUUAUUGGAGGGAGGGUGGCGUGGUUGGAUAGGUGUGAGUUCCAUUGGUUCCACGCCAGUAUCUGCUGUGGAACAACUGGCUGGGACUGCUGCAUGGUGCUGACCAUUCGGUCUGGGUGCUUUCUUGGUGUCGCUGCUGUCCUCUGCUGCUGCUGUAACUCACAGGCUGGUCUCUCUUAGGUUGACUUGGCCCACCAUUGCUUCUGCUGGCACCACAGACCCUUUUGAGUCUCUGUUCCACUGCUCUGAGGCCAUUUCAUCUCUCACCAAGGCCUCCUGGCACGUCCAUUGGCUCUCAAUUCAGCUUUGUUGUCCCCUGAGAGGGUAACAUGGGGACUGUGGGGUGCCUUCCACAUCACCUAGGAGCCAAACUCCCUCCACUACAUCAUGCUGUGCCCUGAGUUUUCUCUGAUGUGGCUGCACAUGGAAGGUUGGUAUGGGGAGCUCACAGGGGAAUCUCCUCCCAGGGUUCCAAGUGAGACGUGAGGUAGAAAUGCUGUCCCGAGUUUCUCUCCACUCAUCUGCCACACUACCUUAGCCCAGAGGCGUGCCCGCCCAACUGCCGGUUUCUCCUUCCCUAGUCUCUUUUCUUUUCCCAUUGAUUGAGACUCUUUGACCUAAAAGGCUAGGAUCAAUCGAUUGUCUUCAGGCCCACCAGCACUGCACUUCUCCCUAAAGGGUCGGGAUAGAGGGACUUACAAAACCCUUCCCGCAAAGACAAAGCUUGGAUUCCAAGACUAUUUUCUCACUUCAAAAUCCUAGUUCGGAUGCUAGAAGCUAAACGUUAUCUCUUCAUCUUUCUUUGCAUCUAUAAGAUCCCUAAAAUUCCCCAAAGCAAAACAAUUCCCCUUGAAGAAAAAGGAGGAGUCAUCAGUACAAGAAAAAAAUGUAUUUGUAUGUUUUAAAAUAUUAUUUUGAUUAUCUGGGAUUUGCUGCUCAGAGAAUAGUAUGGCCAACCAAAUAGAGUUAGUGGGACCUAAAACAUUUAAUUGAACAAAAUGGGGGAUCGUUCUUAUGAGAGUUAGUGAAAAACAGUUAUUUUCAGUCUGUCCCCAGAGUUACAAAAUGCACAAAGGUAAAAUAAUGACAUGUGUACUGUACUCAACUGCCUCCAGCUGAACUGAGAAAGCCGGAAAUGCCUACUAGUCAGUCACUUCCUUGCCCGGCCUGCUGCAGACUUAAGAACCUUAGCCAAGCCCCAUGUGAACACAGAGCACAGGGCCAGAUGCAUGCUCUCACAGGCUCGCGCUAGGAUCAUAAUCACCCAAUAGGCUUCCAACCUUUAGAGUACUACAGGCCCAGAUUUUAGGGGACUAAGAUGAACAGUUCUACUUGAGAUUGCUCAAAUUUAUAGCUUCUGUGGUUGGAAGAUCUUUUAAAAUUAUUCUUAUAAAAAAUUGCAAACAUAUAGAAAGGAAC
ensembl:lncRNA